AGGAUGAUCAGCCACAUUGGGACUGAGACACGGCCCAAACUCCUACGGGAGGCAGCAGUGGGGAAUAUUGGACAAUGGGCGCAAGCCUGAUCCAGCCAUGCCGCGUGAGUGAUGAAGGCCUUGGGGUUGUAAAGCUCUUUCACCGGUGAAGAUAAUGACGGUAACCGGAGAAGAAGCCCCGGCUAACUUCGUGCCAGCAGCCGCGGUAAUACGAAGGGGGCUAGCGUUGUUCGGAAUUACUGGGCGUAAAGCGCAUGUAGCCGGACAUUUAAGUCAGGGGUGAAAUCCCGGGGCUCAACCUCGGAACUGCCUUUGAUACUGGGUGUCUAGAGUGUGGAAGAGGUAAGUGGAAUUCCGAGUGUAGAGGUGAAAUUCGUAGAUAUU
rnacentral:rRNA from 1 species